AUUGAACGCUGGCGGCAGGCCUAACACAUGCAAGUCGAGCGGAUGAAGGGAGCUUGCUCCUGGAUUCAGCGGCGGACGGGUGAGUAAUGCCUAGGAAUCUGCCUGGUAGUGGGGGAUAACGUCCGGAAACGGGCGCUAAUACCGCAUACGUCCUGAGGGAGAAAGUGGGGGAUCUUCGGACCUCACGCUAUCAGAUGAGCCUAGGUCGGAUUAGCUAGUUGGUGGGGUAAAGGCCUACCAAGGCGACGAUCCGUAACUGGUCUGAGAGGAUGAUCAGUCACACUGGAACUGAGACACGGUCCAGACUCCUACGGGAGGCAGCAGUGGGGAAUAUUGGACAAUGGGCGAAAGCCUGAUCCAGCCAUGCCGCGUGAGUGAAGAAGGUCUUCGGAUUGUAAAACACUUUAAGUUGGGAGGAAGGACAGUAAGUUAAUACCUUGCUGUUUUGACGUUACCAACAGAAUAAGCACCGGCUAACUUCGUG
rnacentral:rRNA from 1 species